rnacentral:rRNA from 1 species
GCAUAUCAUAGCGGAGGAAAAGAAACCAACAGGGAUUGCCUCAGUAACGGCGAAGUGAAGCGGCAACAGCUCAAAUUUGAAAUCUGGCCUCUUUGGGGUUCCGAGUUGUAAUUUGUAGAGGAUGUUUCGGGUACCGCCUCGGUUUAAAUUUCUUGGAACAGAAUGUCAGAGAGGGUGAGAAUCCCGUCUUGGACCGGCGGUAGGGCCCAUGUGAAACUCCUUCGACGAGUCGAGUUGUUUGGGAAUGCAGCUCAAAAUGGGUGGUAAAUUUCAUCUAAAGCUAAAUAUUGGCCAGAGACCGAUAGCGCACAAGUAGAGUGAUCGAAAGAUGAAAAGAACUUUGAAAAGAGAGUUAAACAGUAUGUGAAAUUGUUGAAAGGGAAGCGCUUGCAACCAGACUUGAGCGCGGCGGUUCCCCCUUCCUUUUGGUUGGGUUACUCCGCCGUGUCCAGGCCAACAUCGGUUCUGGGGGUCGGUUAAAGGCCCGGGGAAUGUACCUACUCCUUCGGGGGUAGACUUAUAGCCCCGGGUGUCAUGCGACCACCCGGGACCGAGGAACGCGCUUCGGCUCGGAUGUUGGCGUAAUGGUUGUCAGCGACCCGUCUUGAAACACGGACCAAGGAGUCUAACAUCUAUGCGAGUGUUUGGGUGUCAAACCCGGAACGCGAAAUGAAAGUGAACGGAGGUAGGAAGCCUUUGGGCUGCACUAUCGACCGAUCCUGAUGUCUUCGGAUGGAUUUGAGUAAGAGCAUAGCUGUUGGGACCCGAAAGAUGGUGAACUAUGCCUGAAUAGGGUGAAGCCAGAGGAAACUACUGGUGGAGGCUCGCAGCGGUUACUGACGUGCAAAUCGAUCGUCAAAUUUGGGUAAUAGGGGCGAAAGACUAAUCGAACCAUCUGGUAGCUGGGUUCCUGCCGA